AUGCAAGUCGAACGCGGAAGAAUCUCUCGGGAGUUUUGAAGAGUGGCGAACGGGUGAGGAACACGUAAGAAUCACCUUUCGGUUGGGGAUAACUUCUGGAAACGGGAGCCAAUACCCAAUAUGCUGUGGAGUGAAAGAAUUUCGCCGAAAGACGAUCUUGCGUCUGAUUAGCUAGUUGGGGUGGUAAUGGCACACCAAGGCGACGAUCAGUAGCUGGUCUGAGAGGAUGGACAGCCACAUUGGGACUGAGACACGGCCCAGGCUCC
rnacentral:rRNA from 1 species